GUGCUCGCUUUGGCAGCACAUAUGCUAAAAUUGGAAUGAUACAGAGAAGAUUAGCAUGACCCCUGCGCAAGGAUGAUCAACAAAUUCAUGAAGCAUUCCACAUGCAA